CCGGUUUCGUUCCAAGAAGGGUCGAACUUGUCUAUCUUCCAAUGGUCAAUGCUGUGGUCGUCCCAUGGUUCGGCUUGUCGUGCUUUCCCUUGUGCUUCGUAGGCUUCGGCUUCUCCUCUGCAUCCCAAUCCUCAAUCUAAUUCUUCGACUUCGCUUGAUCGAUUCCGACUACGGCGCGAGAGAAGGGCGGGAAGAGGAAGUAGUAGGGUUGGUUUGCCCGGUACUGAAGUAUCAGCUACGGAGACACUACACUUUUGUAUUUCGAAACUGCGGCUUUAAAUACGCCACGUCACCUUCG
rnacentral:lncRNA from 1 species